GGGGAAUUAGGGUUCGAUUCCGGAGAGGGAGCCUGAGAAACGGCUACCACAUCUAAGGAAGGCAGCAGGCGCGCAAAUUACCCAAUCCUAAUACAGGGAGGUAGUGACAAGAAAUAACAAUACAGGACUUUUUGGUUUUGUAAUUGGAAUGAGUUAAGUAUAAACCCCUUUACAAGUAUCAAUUGGAGGGCAAGUCUGGUGCCAGCAGCCGCGGUAAUUCCAGCUCCAAUAGCGUAUAUUAAAGUUGUUGCAGUUAAAAAGCUCGUAGUUGGAUUUCUGUUAAUAAUUUAUAUAAAAUAUUUUGAUGAAUGUUUAUAUAAUAUUAACAUAAUUCAUAUUACUAUAUAUUUUAGUAUAUGAAAUUUUACUUUGAGAAAAUUAGAGUGCUUAAAGCAGGCAUAUGCCUUGAAUACUCCAGCAUGGAAUAAUAUUAAAGAUUUUUAUCUUUCUUAUUGGUUCUAAGAUAAGAAUAAUGAUAAU
rnacentral:rRNA from 1 species